CGGUUAAUACCGACCUGCAUGAAUGGCGUAACGAGAUGGGAGCUGUCUCAAAGAGGGAUCCAGUGAAAUUGUAGUGGAGGUGAAAAUUCCUCCUACCCGCGGCAAGACGGAAAGACCCCGUGGACCUUUACUACAGCUUGACACUGCUAUUUGGAUAAGAAUGUGCAGGAUAGGUGGGAGGCUUUGAGUAUAUGACGCCAGUUGUAUAUGAGCCAUUGUUGAGAUACCACUCUUUCUUAUUUGGGUAGCUAACCAGCUUGA
rnacentral:rRNA from 1 species